UACGUAGGGUGCGAGCGUUUAAUCGGAAUUACUGGGCGUAAAGCGUGCGCAGGCGGUUUUGUAAGUCUGUCGUGAAAUCCCCGGGCUCAACCUGGGAACUGCAUUUGUGGACUGCAUCGCUGGAGUACGGCAGAGGGGGAUGGAAUCCGCGUGUAGCAGUGAAAUGGCGUAGAUAUGCGGAGGAACACCGAUGGCGAAGGCAAU
rnacentral:rRNA from 1 species